rnacentral:rRNA from 1 species
UACGAAGGGGGCUAGCGUUGCUCGGAAUCACUGGGCGUAAAGCGCACGUAGGCGGAUUGCUAAGUCAGGGGUGAAAUCCUGGAGCUCAACUCCAGAACUGCCCUUGAUACUGGCGGUCUCGAGUCCGGGAGAGGUGAGUGGAACUGCGAGUGUAGAGGUGAAAUUCGUAGAUAUUCGCAAGAACACCAGUGGCGAAAGCAGCUCUCUGGGACGGUACUGACGCUGAGACGCGAAAGCGUGGGGAGCGAACAGG